CAGGAAAAGCGUGCCCUCACUCCAGGUGAAUUCAGCCUGCGGAAGCAGCUUAAGCAAAGAACCCUUGGUUUGGCUACGAUCGAGAGAGCUCGCAAGAGGCAGGCCUCCCGGAUCACCUGGCUCAAGGAGGGGGACGUUCGCUCUGCAUUCUUUCAAGCAAAAAUCAACUCAUGCAAGCGGAAAAACUUCAUUCACUCCCUGGAAGUGGACAAUGCUGUGAUCACCGCGCACGACGAAAAGGCUUCUAUUGCUCACUCACAUUUC
rnacentral:rRNA from 1 species